GUAGGUGGCAAGCGUUGUCCGGAAUUAUUGGGCGUAAAGCGCGCGCAGGCGGCUCUUUAAGUCUGAUGUGAAAGCCCACGGCUCAACUGUGGAGGGUCAUUGGAAACUGGAGAACUUGAGUACAGAAGAGGAAAGCGGAAUUCCACGUGUAGCGGUGAAAUGCGUAGAGAUGUGGAGGAACACCAGUGGCGAAGGCGGCUUUCUGGUCUGUAACUGACGCUGAGGCGCGAAAGCGUGGGGGGAGCAAACAGGAUUAGAUACCCUGGUAGUCCACGCCGUAAACGAUGAGUGCUAAGUGUUAGGGGGUUUCCGCCCCCCCCUUAGUGCUGCAGCUAACGCAUUAAGCACUCCGCCUGGGAGUACGGCCGCAAGGCUG
rnacentral:rRNA from 1 species